rnacentral:tRNA from 1 species
GUGGGUGUGGCUCAGUGGUAGAGCGCUUGCCUAGCAUGCACAAGGCACUGGGUUCAACCCCCGACACCACA